AAAUAUGAGAUUUGUGUUUGCGUGAAAGUUGCUCCUCAAAAUUUAACCAAAAAUGCACUAUUAGGCCCAUUCUUGAUUCUUUAGCCCUUUCUUCGUAGCAGCCCAAGCCCCAAAAAUCAAUUGCCUGCCGGCGGCCAGUCACCGUUUCCCCCACUCCACACCCUUCAACUUUUUGCAGAGGGCAGCGAAAAGAUGCUUCUUGUAUGUAGAAAUCAGUAGGACAUGGGAGAUUUCCAACCACCAAAUCUCUUAGUCUUCGGGUGCUUCUUGAACUCCAUUUUCAUCUCUGUGAUCACCCAUCAGUUGCUCCAAACGUCUGCAAUCUUCCAACCAUAGUGUACUUGUAGAUGACAGAGGAAAUCACAAACGCUAUACUUGAAUCGUGACACUUUGACUACUUCAAGCCUGUGGUAUAUAACUAUUUCCCUUCCAUAGUCUAGUUAUUUUCCAGUACCAAUCUCUUUAAUUUUCCACCUUGACCUUGGACUGUGAGGCCUACCUUCUAUUGAGGUGUGUUUUGCAUGAA